rnacentral:rRNA from 1 species
UACAGAGGGUGCGAGCGUUAAUCGGAAUUACUGGGCGUAAAGCGCACGUAGGCGGCUUGGUAUGUCGGGUGUGAAAUCCCCGGGCUCAACCUGGGAACUGCAUUUGUGACUGCAUGGCUGGAGUGCGGCAGAGGGGGAUGGAAUUCCGCGUGUAGCAGUGAAAUGCGUAGAUAUCAGGAGGAAUACCGAUGGCGAAGGCAGGUCUCUGGGCUAACACUGACGCUCAUGCACGAAAGCGUGGGGAGCAAACAGG